rnacentral:lncRNA from 1 species
ACAACAGACAAAUCUCUACAAAAACUGUUGCCCAGGCCUCCCAUUCUGCACUGACCAUCCAGUCCAAAUAGCCUGCAUCUGCUGAGACUGCACCUCUAUCAAGGCCUGGUUAAGGCUUGUAGUGAUGUAAAUCAGAUCUCUCCUGAAACCACUGGACUGAACAAAAGCAGCAGAGAACCAGCUCAAAGACUCAGUGUGCAUCAGGAUAGUCUGUGGUUGCCACUAAUCAGCUGUGAAUAAAAGACCACUUGCAAGUGAGAAGCAAAGCUCUGAUCUGAAGAGUAGUCUGCCUUUCCUUCCCGUUAGCUGGUGAAGAGAGUUGGCACUGAGGUGCGCCAUCUUGCUCUUGGAGAGGAGGGGACUUCUCUGAUACUAGAAGGACUUCUCAUUAGGAUAUACGUACAGAGGGACCACUUAGUGCUGCAAAUAUACACUUUUUAAUUUCUGGAGAGAAUAUUGGCCAGAUGGAAAGCAGUUUAUAUUAGCUACUUGAAAACCUGAAGCUUUCGUUCUUGUUUCUUCAG